CAGGGAGACAACAAAAUGUUUAAUAUUAUUAUUUUGUCACCUUAGGUCGAUCGGUAUCUCACGUUUUUAAUUUAUUAAGAAUUUCAUUUCCUAAGUUUUUCUAGGUCACACCCAUUAUUUUUCCUGGGCCAUUAGCUCAGGUGGUUAGAGCGCACCCCUGAUAAGGGUGAGGUCCCUGGUUCAAGUCCAGGAUGGCCCAUAUCUCUAUGUUGGGGGUAUAGCUCAGUUGGUAGAGCGCCUGCUUUGCAAGCAGGAUGUCAGCGGUUCGAGUCCGCUUACCUCCACUGAUCACCACCUCUUCCAUAAUCGGUAGAAAGGAAAUUUUUUGAGUUGUGAUCAAAUUCUGAAAGAAUCUAGCUUCCUAAUGAAAUCAUUAAGAUGCUGGACUCAUUGAAUUAAUUUCAUUGUUUUCAGAGAACCUUGACAACUGCAUAGAUUAUUUUUAAAGACAAUAAGCAUCUUUAAUGAUGCAGAUUUAUUAUUUGUGCAAAUGCAUUAAAUAACAAUUCUAUUAAGCUGAUGCUUCAAUAUUUGAAGUUAUU
rnacentral:tRNA from 1 species